CUUGCUUUCUUUGCUGGCGACCGGCGCACGGGUGAGUAACACGUAUCCAACCUGCCCUUUACUCGGGGAUAGCCUUUCGAAAGAAAGAUUAAUACCCGAUAGCAUAAUGAUUCCGCAUGGUUUCAUUAUUAAAGGAUUCCGGUAAAGGAUGGGGAUGCGUUCCAUUAGGUUGUUGGUGAGGUAACGGCCCACCAAGCCUUCGAUGGAUAGGGGUUCUGAGAGGAAGGUCCCCCACAUUGGAACUGAGACACGGUCCAAACUCCUACGGGAGGCAGCAGUGAGGAAUAUUGGUCAAUGGGCGUUAGCCUGAACCAGCCAAGUAGCGUGAAGGAUGAAGGCUCUAUGGGUCGUAAACUUCUUUUAUAUAAGAAUAAAGUGCAGUAUGUAUACUGUUUUGUAUGUAUUAUAUGAAUAAGGAUCGGCUAACUCCGUGCCAGCAGCCGCGGUAAUACGGAGGAUCCGAGCGUUAUCCGGAUUUAUUGGGUUUAAAGGGAGCGUAGGUGGACUGGUAAGUCAGUUGUGAAAGUUUGCGGCUCAACCGUAAAAUUGCAGUUGAUACUGUCAGUCUUGAGUACAGUAGAGGUGGGCGGAAUUCGUGGUGUAGCGGUGAAAUGCUUAGAUAUCACGAAGAACUCCGAUUGCGAAGGCAGC
rnacentral:rRNA from 1 species